rnacentral:tRNA from 3 species
CAUUAAGAAGCUAAACUGGGUCUAGCAUUAGCCUUUUAAGCUAACUAUUGGUGAUUCCCUACCACCCUUAAUGA